GGGCGUGUGGCUCAGUUGGUAGAGCGUUCGCUUAGCAUACUCAAAAAUCCUUGCCAUCUUCACGAUGUCAGGGAUACCCAUUGUAUGCGAAAGGUCCUGGGUUCGAUUCCCAGCUCGUCCA